rnacentral:rRNA from 1 species
GGGGAAAUCGGAAGGCUUACCAUGCAAGUCGAGGGGUAUGGUAGCAAUACCAGAGACCGGCGCACGGGUGCGUAACGCGUAUGCAAUCUACCUUUUACAGCGGGAUAGCCCAGAGAAAUUUGGAUUAAUACCUCAUAGUAUAACAUGACCGCAUGGUCGAGUUAUUAAAGUCACAACGGUAAAAGAUGAGCAUGCGUCCCAUUAGCUAGUUGGUAAGGUAACGGCUUACCAAGGCAACGAUGGGUAGGGGUCCUGAGAGGGAGAUCCCCCACACUGGUACUGAGACACGGACCAGACUCCUACGGGAGGCAGCAGUGAGGAAUAUUGGACAAUGGGCGCAAGCCUGAUCCAGCCAUGCCGCGUGCAGGAUGACGGUCCUAUGGAUUGUAAACUGCUUUUGCACAGGAAGAAACACCCCCUCGUGAGGGGGCUUGACGGUACUGUGAGAAUAAGGAUCGGCUAACUCCGUGCCAGCAGCCGCGGUAAUACGGAGGAUCCAAGCGUUAUCCGGAAUCAUUGGGUUUAAAGGGUCCGUAGGCGGACCAGUAAGUCAGUGGUGAAAUCUCCCCGCUCAACGGGGAAACGGCCAUUGAUACUGCUGGUCUUGAAUUAUUAGGAAGUAACUAGAAUAUGUAGUGUAGCGGUGAAAUGCUUAGAGAUUACAUGGAAUACCAAUUGCGAAGGCAGGUUACUACUAAUAUAUUGACGCUGAUGGACGAAAGCGUGGGUAGCGAACAGGAUUAGAUACCCUGGUAGUCCACGCCGUAAACGAUGGAUACUAGCUGUUGGGAGCAAUUUCAGUGGCUAAGCGAAAGUGAUAAGUAUCCCACCUGGGGAGUACGUUCGCAAGAAUGAAACCCAAAGGAAUUGACGGGGGCCCGCACAAGCGGUGGAGCAUGUGGUUUAAUUCGAUGAUACGCGAGGAACCUUACCAAGGCUUAAAUGUAGAUUGCCCGGUUUGGAAACAGACUUUUCGCAAGAC